ensembl:lncRNA
GGCAGGCAUGCUGAUGGCAGGCAUGCUGAUGGCAUCAUCCUCCUCCUCCUCCUCCUCCUCCUCCAGCACCGGCAAGGGGAUUUCUGAGAUGGAGGCCUGUGAUGGAGCCAGCAGGUCGCCUCUAUUGGUCUGCUCCAAUAAAUAUUCCACGGCUAUGCGUUCGCCUGUAACCAGCCUAAACACAAAGAUAAAGAAAGGACAUACAUACUGUACAUACAUCCAUCUCCUACAUGAAUAGCACAAUCUUUGCACUCAAGAAAUGCAUGUUCUCUGGGUAGGGGGGUGCCUAAGAAAAAGAGGAGGGGAUGUGAUACUCCGGGCAACCAGUGUUGCUCUGAGAUCUCUCUUACCAGUAGGUUUCCCAGGAAGGGUGAACUCUGGCACCAGAGCACAACCAUGCACACGCUGGCUUAGAUUGUUAAGGUGGGACAUCAACCGAACAUCGAAGCUUCUUAGGGUGGAGGCCCCCUCCACAUCUACUGUCUCUUUGGCCCGGCCCAUGUUCCACCUUGAUAUACCCUCCAGCAUGUACAUUUGCAUGUGCACCGCAUUGCACCGCCAGCCUAAGAAACAAAACACUCUGUCCAGUCAACCGUUAUUGUAAAGUGAAUACAUAUGAACACCCGUCAAUGGUAAUUGUGCUAUUUUGAAUAAUCACAACACAUGCAAAUGUACCUGGAAUGAAAGCACACUGGUGCCGGUGGAAACUCUCCAGGGAGGAGGACCCCCUACCACACCUAAGGAUGUCCAGCUCCUUGCCGCCCUUCUGGAGUGUCCCCACCUUCGUGUAAAGUGCAACACCUGCAGGGUCUUGGAGGCACUCCAGGUGCUUCUGCUGUACUUCCCACACGUGGCGCAUGCUGUCAUGGCUCACCAGACGCAGCCCUGUGGUGUCUGUGAGCUCCCUCACAGAUUCCAGGAGCCCUGAAAUACUGCUCCGCAUCUCCUCCACUCCACGCGUCCUCCUCCUGCAGUGCCUCUUCAUUUCAGCUGGGCUGAUGGUGGCCAUGAGCUGGUCGUCAGUGGGAGUAUGUCCGCUGUGGCUGCUCUUCCACUCCGCUCUCUUGGCCUCCUUCAGGCGUUGCACAUCCUCCUGGUCCCAGAGAAAAAUGCAGGCGGAAAGCUUGGCACAAAAGGUGCCAUAGAGAGGGUGGUGUUCGGUUGUGAGGCCGCAGUUAAAGCGCCUCAUAAAAUGGAAGCUAUCCAGGCGCACUGCAGACCUCCAUGGGCGAAAGAGUUUCGCCACUGCAGACACACCUGUGAAAAACAACCAUUCUUAAUACCAUAGACCACAACACCUUUGUGUGGUUACUCCCAAUUGCCUGACACUUCUCCCCAAAGUAGCAUUGGUAUUAAAUAAAUACAUUUAAUACAAAUGCUACAAACAGUGUGUUUGUGUGUGUGUUAGUGAGUGAGUAAGUGUGGGUGUGUGUGUGUGUGUGUGUGUGUGUGUGUGUGUGUGUGUGUGUGUGUGUGUGUGUGUGUGUGUGUGUGUGUGUGUGUGUGUGUGUCUGUGUCUGUGUGUCUGUGUGUGAGUGAGAGAGCAAUUUUCACACACCUGACUGGCUGCAACAGUCCCGAUCAACAUAGAUGGCCUCAGGUUCAGGUUGGCCCGCAUUCCUAUACUGGGUGACGACGCCCUGGCACAACUCCUCUAACCCUGCACCUUCACCAGUCGUCAGCACAGAGUUCAACACCUGGCCAAACUCGUUGCCGAUGUUCGACAUCCAGGCGGCACUGUCCCCGAUUGCACCAGCCAGCUUCUUGGUGACCUGUAAAACAAACACAAGCACUAUGAAGAUUCUCCCAUACGUUGAAGUGAUCACACCCUUCAUCUCCUCCACGUGGCUGAGGAUGUCGUUGGAGUGGACUGUCUCAAACCACUGGGCGAGUGGAAGGGGCCUGAAGGGUGGUGGAGGAGGGUAUAUGGCUGCAGAGGGGACAAAUGUAGCCAUCUUUUUGUGCAGCUCGCAGUCAGCCAGGUAGCGGAUGGUCUGCCGUGCCCACUCCUCGCUGUGACCUUCCUCUAUGGCAGACUGGAGCAAAUCGAAAUGCAGAGGCCCGUCAGACUGGAGGGGGUCCACCACCUGCAGCCCUCAGCCAACAGAGUAUGCGUCCUGUGGCUGAGGGCAUCCCUGGGGGGAGCUCCUCUGAUCCCCCCCCCCCAGGAUAGAAGUGCCUUUACAGUAUAAGAGUUACUGAUGGCGUCAUCGCCCUACUUGAACCAGAUGCCCUCACCAACCUCCAUGCAAUUGUAACAAUUCAAAAGAUGCAAAAGGAUGCUUUGGAGAUCCACAUUUUUGAACAUAAGUUAAAGGUGUUGUUUUUUUUUGUGCUUUCAGGAAAUAAAAUAAUCCUCAUAAUAAGUAGAUUGUCUUUAUUAGAACACGGGCUGUGGUGGGACAAGUUAUUUUGUUGAACAGUUUACUCAAAGGGUUUUACUUCAGUGAACAAUGCAGACGAUUAUGCUGAGAAUGUGCAUGUAGAGAAGAACAGCAUCUGGUUAAAAGCAGUACCAGGGUCUUUUCUGCCCUGCAUUCUUAAAAUCAGUUUCUUGACUUGCAGCAGUUAUAGGUCCG